rnacentral:rRNA from 1 species
UACAGGGGGUGCAAGCGUUGUUCGGAAUUAUUGGGCGUAAAGCGCGCGUAGGUGGUUUGCUAAGUCUGGUGUGAAAGCCCUCGACUCAAUCGAGGAAGUGCAUUGGAUACUGGCAGACUAGAGUAUAGGAGGGGUGAGCGGAAUUCCUGGUGUAGAGGUGAAAUUCGUAGAUAUCAGGAGGAACAACAGUGGCGAAAGCGGCUCACUAGACUAUAACUGACACUCUGGCGCGAAAGCGUGGGUAGCAAACAGG